rnacentral:rRNA from 1 species
AUGUCACAUCGUCUCCUCGCCUUCUGCGAAGAGCGCGAAGCCGACGAGGGCGUGCUCGUGCUGGAGUUCGCGCCCAACGGCAACCUGCACGACUACCUCCACGACGAUGACAUGCGCGCGGCGGGCGGUCGUUGCGAGCCCCGGGUGGUGCACAGAAACAUGAAGGCCUCCAAUGUGCUGCUCGACGUGGCCAUGGACGCCAGGCUCUACAAAUUCGACUCUGCGCGCGUAGGGAUCUCGCUGGCCGUGCGCCUGCCGCAGCUGCUCACCGGCACACAUCCGUUCGGCAAUGGCCGGCUCCUUACAUCCACCGUCACCCCAAUGAUCAGGGGCGGGUCCCCAUCCCGCGCCGUUGCCUUCCUUGACGCGCGCAUGCUCCUCGAUAACGUCGAGGUCGACAAGGCCAGCGCUGCUCCUCGACGGCGCGCCGAGCAAGGUCAUGCGCGAUGGCACCGUGACGAAGGCCCAUCAAGUGUCUCCGCCGUGACACAGACUAACAGAGGUCAGCUGUCCUUGCCGCGGUUCUUUCCCUACCCAAAGUUGCCGGAGGCGCCACCGUCCAAGGUGCUGAAGCGCGUCGUCGUCGCCGCGCUCUAG